rnacentral:rRNA from 1 species
GAUGAACGCUGGCGGCGUGCUUAAUACAUGCAAGUCGAGCGAACAGACGAGGCGCUUGCUCCUCUGACGAUAGCGGCGGGCGGGAGAGUAACGCGUGUAAACCGCACCUAUAAGAGUGGGAAAACUUCGGGAAUCGGGAGCAAACACGGGAGAAUAUACUGAACCGCAUGGUGCAAUAGUAAAAGACGGCUGUGGUGGCUCUUAUAGAUGGAUCCGCGCCGCAUGAGCUAGUAGGGAAGGUCACGGCUUACGAAGGCAACGAUGCGUAUCCGAGUUGAGAGACGGAUCGGCCACACUGGAACUUAGACGGCGUCCAUGCGCCUGCGGUAGGGAGCAGUAGCGAAUCUGCCGCAAUGGGCGAAAGCCUGACGGAGCAACGCCGCGUGAGUGAUGAAAGUGUUCGGAGCGUAAAACUCUGUUACUAGUGAAAAACAAAUGUGUAAGUAACUAUGCACGUCUUGACGGUACCGAAUCAGAAAGCCACGGCUAACUACGUG